rnacentral:rRNA from 2 species
AAAAUGACUCUCGGCAACGGAUAUCUCGGCUCUCGCAUCGAUGAAGAACGUAGCGAAAUGCGAUACUUGGUGUGAAUUGCAGAAUCCCGUGAACCAUCGAGUCUUUGAACGCAAAUUGCGCCCCAAGCCGUUAGGCCGAGGGCACGCCUGCCUGGGUGUCACGC